ACGGUGCCUAAUAUCCAUGUGUUGAUUGGGGCUAAAGUCAGGGGGUUAAGCAAGGUCUAGUUAGCCUGGGUUCUGAAUUACCACGGAGAAGGUGAAGCAAAACAACAGGCCUUCAUCCCACCUGUCGGCCAAUUACUGCUACAUAAACACGAUGGUCGGUCGGCUGCAUGCACACGCAUAAGAUAAAUUGAGGUAGGUGGUCGGACUUCCCCAAUUAAGGAAUCUGACGGACUGAAAAAGCUCACUUUAAGACAAAUAUCAUGAAAUCCCUGAGCUCUGACCAGUCUACGGAUCUUUUACACGGUUUUAGAGAAGCAAAUGAUCACCCUGAUGCCAUUUUUCAAGGCUAAUCUGUCUCCGUUUGUAUAUUCUCUCAGUUUUUCCACCUACAUGACACACGUUUUUCAUCCAGGCCCUUUUCCCCUGCUGUCUUUGGCCCCUGUGACCCGCAUGUGUUAACAGGUGGAUGCGCCUGUUUUUGCCGCCUGACUCUCUGUGUUUGCCCAUGAUGGUCAGACAGGAAGCCGGCCAGACUGCGGUCGGCUUGAGCCAGGUUUUCAGUCCUUUCGGCGAGGUGUGAGGAAGACGUGGUGACAUCACUCUUGUGGGAUAGUCCCGUGACGAUGAAGGAGGAGGAGACGGACUGCAGAUCUAUUUCUGGCUCUGCUUAUAUACACUAGGGGUUUGCAGAGACACCAUAACCUUCAACUGUAUCUGUCCAGCCUGGUGCCACAAGACCCAGUUACCUUAGUGAAGGGGUCUGGGACCGUACAAGUCAUUCAUGGGGUAAGGUGACCAGAUGUCCCAGACAAUCCCCGUAUUGGAUGACCUGUCCCCGGCUAAAGCUGUCCCUGGAAAUGUCCCAGAUUUAAGUGUUUAAGCGAGAACAAAAAUGUUGUGUGUAGACUAGAACAAAAAUGGUUAUGACGGUAGCCGAGUAGGUAGGAAGCACGAGUAAGCAUGUUGCGCGCAGUCCUGAACAACAGUUUUUAUGGGGUAUGUGUGCUGCUAUGGAGUAGUACCGACAUGUUAUUAUGGGGUGCAUUUCGAAAAGACCCCCCGGAAGCGACCCAACUCAUAAAAAGGGCUUCAAAUGACCUUUCAGUGGUGGAAGUGGAAGGUCCUCAAUCUGAGACCCUACCUAUCAAUUGAAGCACUCUUGUA